rnacentral:ncRNA from 1 species
GAACGGGUGAGUAACGCGUAAGAACCUGCCCUUGGGAGGGGAACAACAACUGGAAACGGUUGCUAAUACCCCGUAGGCUGAGGAGCAAAAGGAGAAAUCCGCCCAAGGAGGGGCUCGCGUCUGAUUAGCUAGUUGGUGAGGUAAUAGCUUACCAAGGCGAUGAUGAGUAGCUGGUCCGAGAG